CCCUAGUAUUUAAUAUGAAAUAAAAUUAGUAAAUUAUUGAAAUUUAAUAAUUUUGGCGGUUAUUUAUUAAUUUAGAGGAGCUUGUUUAAGAAUAAGAAUUUACUCUUUAAAUUUUUAUAAUAUUUAGUUUAUUCAUCUCCGUUAAUAGAUUAAUAAUCAAUAAAGAAUUAUUUUUAGUAUUUCAGGUCAAGAUGUAUCAUAUAUUUUAUAUAAAUUAGCUACAAUUAUAUAAUAAUGAAUUAUUUUAAAGAAGAUUAUUAAAGAAAUUGAAUUUAGUUGUAAUAAUAAUUAAAAAGUUAUUAUGAAAUUUUAUAAUUAAUGUA
rnacentral:rRNA from 1 species